CUUCCUUAUUUUUUCUAUACAGAGUCUGGCUUUGUUGACCAAACUGGCCUGGAACUCCUGGCUUCAAGCAAUCCUCCUGAUGAAGUCAGAUAUUAUAAAGGAAGAGAUAAGCACUCUGAAUUUUCAAAUACUUUUUGGUACUAAGGUCUAAUAACUUGCCUUUAUUCAAGUUACAGUUUGUGAGACAUUACAUAGAGUGACUAGUAAAUGAUUACCAUAACAAGCACAAUCAGUCAGCAAGAUAAAUACAUAGAAAGCACAGAUAAGAUAGUUACUAUGAUUCUGCUUGGUGAACAACUGCCUGAAAUUAGAUUUUCAGCAGAAUUUUUUUCUAUCAAAAUGAACCAUAAUUUAAGUGGUUAUAAUAGGCAUAUAUUUUAAUGCUUGUAUAUCUGACUUCUAUACAAAAUUAAUGCUUCUCACUACCCCGUUACUCUCAUCACCCCAUUUGUGAGUGUUCUGGCAGGUCUUUGCAUAUGCCUCUGAACAUACCUUUCUUCUCUCCUAAGCUAUCAGAGGAGUCAGGGAAAAAAAGAUAUAGAUGAAAUAAGAGUUAUAUACCCAUGAGAUGAUUUAAGUAGUUAAAUCAAUAUGGAGUAUAUACAGAGAAAGGUAUGAAAUGAAUUCCCCACUUUCUUCUAUGAUUUGUUCAAUGAAGAUAAAAACUUGGUAAUAUACCUUAGUCCUAGCUGCCACAUUCAGUUGCUUAAUAUCUAAUCUAUUAUCACUACUUAAAACAUAUUUUGUAUAGCCAUUUAUAGACACAUCAAAUCUAAAGCAAAUAGCUCAAUAGCAGAAACCACUGUUUUCUAAGAAUUAUACUACCCUUCUUUGUUUAUCAAAAGAUUUAUUGGGCAAAUAUGUAUAUAUGCAUAGGAAUAUUGAUAUAUCUCAAUAGGUCAAAUCCACAAAUACGUAAUUUAAAGGCACAAGAAUCUUGAUAACAAAGAUUCACAACACAACAUCAGUGUUUGGUAUCCAGAUACCAAAUUCUGCUUGCCUUCUGUCUCUGGAUCAUGGAGUGACUACAGAUUUUCAGAUCUGGAAGGACUAGAAGUUUGGAAGAUUCUGAGAUCAUAAAGCAGGGUUUAGGUUAAGAAUGUCAUGCAAUGCAUCUGUAUGCCUCCCUCCCCCAGUGCUCCUUGGGGCACCAGGUCCUUUGAAAGGGCAUCAUCCUGGUGAGGGUAUGCUCUUUGGAAAUUAGGAUCAGCUCUUGUCCAGUUCAAGCUGACUCCACUGAGCCUCCAAUGGCCUGUAUGAAUGCCCAAUGAGUGCCCUUUUGACAUCAGAAGGCCAAAAACUCCACCCUCAGAUUGUGCCAACGACACCAUCUUGCGAACGUGGAUCCUAUGAAAAGCCAUGAAGCUUAACUGCACUCGCACAGAUCAGCAAUUACCUCACUUUUCCUUACCACCAAUUAACUUUUUCCAUGCAUUGGACUGCCUUGCUCCUUUAUCCCACAAAUAUCCCUAAUGCCCCAACUUCAAGGAGGAGAAUUUGAGGGGUGUUAUCCCACCUCCUCACUUGGCUGCCUCAUGAAUAAAAUCUUUUCUCCACUGCAAAACUCAUUGUCUCAGUGAUUGGCUUACUGCAGGAUGGGCAGAAUGUGCCUGGUUUGGUAUCAGAGGAAUGACUGCAAAGAGGCAUGUUCUAUAUCUUAA
rnacentral:lncRNA from 10 species